AGCUCAGGCUCAUUUGAAGUAUCCUCUUCCUGAGGCCACCCCCGAUGACGUCAAUGUGAGACACAUUACUAUACUUAUGGAUGGUGAUACACCAAACAUUAAUAAGAUCACCAACAGUGAACUGUUCCACUGUCCCUUCUGUAAAUACGUGGGUGCAAAAUUUAAGGUCGACUACCAUGUAAAAGGCCAUUCGUCAGUGAAACACAAAGAGUUCACAAUAAUCAAGUGUGGAUUAAGUUGUCGGACGGCAACACAUUUUCAUUGUUGCUAUUGUGCAGCAACACUUAGAAAUCGAUCGCAAUUGGUAAGGCACCUACAAAU